rnacentral:rRNA from 1 species
GAUGAACGCUGGCGGCGUGCCUAAUACAUGCAAGUCGAGCGAACAGACGCGGAGCUUGCUCCUCUGACGUUAGCGGCGGACGGGUGAGUAACACGUGGAUAACCUACCUAUAAGUCUGGGAUAACUUCGGGAAACCGGAGCUAAUACCGGAUAAUAUAUUGCACCGCAUGGUUCAAUAGUGAAAGACGGUUUUGCUGUCACUUAUAGAUGGAUCCGGGCCGCUUUGGCUAGUUGGUAAGGUACCGGGUUACCAAGGCGACCAUGCGUAGCCGACGUGAUAGGGGGAUCGGCCACAUGGGAGCGGGAACAGGCACAAGACGCCUACGGGAGGCAGCAGUAGGGAAUCUGCCGCAAUGGGCGAAAGCUUGACGGAGCAACGCCGCGCGAGUGAUGAAGGUCUUCGGAUCGUAAUACUCUGUUAUGAGGGAAGAACAAAUGUGUAAGUAACUAUGCACGGCUUGACGGUACCUAAUCAGAAAGCCACGGCUAACUACGUG